CCUUCGAUAGCUCAGUUGGUAGAGCGGUGGACUAUAGAAGUUGUGAUGGUUAUCCAUAGGUCGCUGGUUCGAAUCCGGCUCGAAGGA
rnacentral:tRNA from 1 species